AAAAUAAAAAAUACCAUUUGAAUCCCUAUACAUGUGUUGACACAUUACACACGGUCCCUGCCAUAAAAAACACACUUUUGACGUUUAAUUACCAUUUUACACGGAAGAAACUCCAGAUGUGCCCCAAAUCAGUUUCUCCAUAAUUUGCUAGCUUAAAUUCAGAACAUUCCAUUUCUUAAUAUUCAACAUUUAACGUUAUUACGUGCGGUUUUUGUACUGAGGUGAGCCACUCAUCUCUUAAGAACAUAAAUAAUCCCAUUUGGGAUGAAAAGAUGUCUUACUUGCAAAGGCAAGGAUCCACCGUCUGACUCUGCUCAGCAGGGGCUCCACCGCAGGGGGUCCACUGGAAGACAUCGUCUCCUCCACGUAACACUCGUAACACAGCUACACUCGUCAAGUUCAACAGUAGAAGUGAAUUCAGAAUGGCCAGCAGCGUUCAGGUGACCUCAGUGAAACGUCACCGUCCUGUUGCCAUGGCGUUUACUCACCGCUAUGUCCAAUGAUGAGUAGAAAGAUAGAAGACAUGAGGAUACACUUGAAUCCCUGCGUGCUUCCAUCGACAUCAUGUAAAUAUUGCACAAUUAAUAAAGUCCUGAACUUCUUUC
ensembl:lncRNA